CAAGUCUGUCACUUCAAAAGGGCAAACAUGCCACCACACCAAGCUGUGAUUUUUCACCUUGUGCAAUGGAGUCGCCCUGAGAGUCUACAACAAUUCAUCUUAUUUCUGUAAGAGAAGAAUGAAAAUAUCUAACCACCAAGAGAUCAUUUGAAGAUACAUGAACAUCCACGUGCCAGGAAGUAGAGUUCAAGAGUUGUGGUCGAGCUCUGCUUACCUUACAACUUCAGCUCCAGGGACAUCUCUCAAGUGCAAAGCAGGAUGCCAAGGUGGAGUUUGUCCUGUGGAUGCCAGCAGCUUCUCAGUUUGCUGAGAAAUAAAGAGUGAGGUUGAUUUCAGAAGAAAUGAUCUUCACGAUGCUAAGAACACAAGGCGGGAUUUCAAAGGAAGGAACUUAAAGGCCUCAGCUUCAUAUGACUGACCUCAGCUUCUCGUGACCUCACCUGGCUGACCUCAGCUUCUCGUGACCUCACAUGACCAACCUUGCUUCUAAGGAGUGGUGUGAGACCCGUGAAGCCCUUACCAUUCUAAGAAUCUGAUGAGUAAGAAAGGACAAACACAUGACAGGGGAGAACAGGAAAAGAAAUCUUUUCUUCAUCAAAAUGCACCUCUUGAGUCAGGAAAGACUCUUGUCAGAGUCUGGACAGUCUAAUAUCUAUGCACCUUCCAGCAGGUUCUGACUGGGAGCACACUGUAUUUGUGAAGGGAGGCUUUGACUUCAGUGAGCAGAAAGAAUACUGACCUGCAGAGGAUCUGUUCCCCCUACCCCUUACGCCCCCCACCUCUCCCCUCAGCUUUCCUCUAUCCCCCAUCCCUGACACACACAUAAGGUUCCUGGGGAAAUGUUGGGCAUUGGGCUAUGCAAAGACAGUCUGGUCUCCAGUCGAGCUGAGAUGUUGAACCCCAGGACCCAGUGGUGAUAAUUCACCUACAUGGGACAGAAGGAGUUCUCUCAUGUCUCCUGGAACUCUGGCUCCUGUCAAAGUUACCACCCCCUCAGCCCCCACAAAAGAAGCAUGGUUAGUACUCACAUAGGCAAUGUCCCAACCUUCUGACCUUUAGGCUAGACUCCUCCCCAGUUACCUAGCAACAGAAAAGAUAGCAACAUACUUUAAGAGGGGCUGUUUGGCCCCUCCUUGCUCUCUCACUCCUCUCUCUCUCCUCUCUUGCUCUCUUUGUUUUCUCCUCUCCUCUCCUCUCCUCUCCUCCUCUCUCUAGCCUUUCUUCACUCUCUCUUUUACCUUCUCUCUUUCCCCCUGCCUUUCUAUAAUACAGCUCUAAAACCUUAGUCUCUGCUCAUCAAGGCCCGCUGCGCAGACUCUUGCCUUUGUGGGAACCUCUCUCCCUAAGCCCUCUCUCCCAUAACCCCAGGACACAAUAACCCCAGGGCACAGGGUGUUGCUUCAGGCCCCUUGGUUUCGUGGGCUGCCCCUUGUCCACCCCCACCCCAGUCGAGUUGGGUCAGUGGCUAAGAUGCCCACCUGGGGCUGAGUGGAAAGCGUCUGACAACCCUCCCACAUCUGCCUGCCCAUAGCAUAGGUAGAACUCUAGCAAGAAAUGAGCUAUCCUCCCUCCCCACUCUUUUUCCAGCCCCUUUUUAGUUCCCACAGGGAAACAUUUACUUUGGCUGGUGAAGAACCUAAAUCUGAGAUAAUGGCACGAGUGAUGGGCCUCACAGCCAAUCAACUUUGAUUUUGAGGAGUUCAGCUAUGCUCCUUACAAUAAGACCAUCUCAGCUGUCUAGUUGAUGGUUUAUAUCCAUUUUACCUUCACAUAGAAGAGCAGGGUAUAGCUUGAGGCCCGAACAUCUGCCUAUGUCUGGCAACUCUGCACAUGGCCUAGAAAAAAAAAAAAAGGCUAGAAUAUACAGAGGCCAGAGAAGACUUGGGGACGGGGACUUCAUCUAUGCAGCUAUGGGUAGACUGCCAUCCUUGGGUAAGGUGUAGCGUAUGCCUCCUUUUGUGACUGUGACCUUGGUAGGAGGAGUAGACAUUGCUGAAGUCCCAUCCCUGGGAAGAAAUGCCUUCUAUUUAUCACAGCUUCACUCCAGCCUGAACGGUUUUAUUUUAGGAGAUUUCCUUUAACCUUUCUCAUUACUGUCCUCACCUUUGCUCUUUCUCAAACUGCAUUGUCAACCUGUAUGUCUACUGCAUACAAGUGUAAAUUGAUUGGAAAUCUCCCCCUCCCAAGACCCCCACACAAUAUAUACUUGACCUAUAUAGAUGAUUCAAUAAAUAUUGGUUGAUUUAAUAAUCAUUAAAAAGCUAA
ensembl:processed_transcript